rnacentral:rRNA from 1 species
GCAGUCAAAGUAGGCAAAUCCGCUUUGAUAAUGCUGGGAUGUGAUGGGGAGCGAAAUUUAGUAGCGAAGUAGCUGAUUUCACACUGUCAAGAAAAGUCUCUAUCGAGGUUAAAGGUACCCGUACCGCAAACCGACACAGGUGGGUGAGGAGAGUAUCCUAAGGCCAGCGAGAGAACUGUUGUUAAGGAACUCGGCAAAAUGACCCCGUAACUUAGGGAUAAGGGGUGCCACCAUCAGGUGGCCGCAGAGAAUAGGCCCAAGCGACUGUUUACCAAAAACAUAGGUUUCUGCUAAGUCGCAAGACGAUGUAUAGGAGCUGACGCCUGCCCGGUGCUGGAAGGUUAAGGGGAUCUGUUAGAGCAAUCGAAGCAGUGAACUUAAGCCCCAGUAAACGGCGGCCGUAACUAUAACGGUCCUAAGGUAGCGAAAUUCCUUGUCGGGUAAGUUCCGACCCGCACGAAAGGCGUAACGAUUUGGGCACUGUCUCAACAACAGACUCGGUGAAAUUGUAAUUCCGGUGAAGAUGCCGGAUACCUGCGACAGGACGGAAAGACCCCAUGGAGCUUUACUGUAGCUUGACAUUGGGUCUUGGUACUACAUGUACAGGAUAGGUGGGAGGCUUUGAAACCAGGACGCCAGUUUUGGCGGAGCCAUCCUUGGGAUACCACCCUUGUA